AAAGCCCACUCCAAAACUUCCUAGCUAAAGGGGCUUACAUAAGUUACGUAGCUUCUUUGUGCUAGAGUUUCCUUAUCUAUAAAACAGGAAAAAAUUAAUAACUGUCUCAUAGGUUGUUAUAUGGAUUGAAGGUGUUCAGAACAUUACCUGCCACACUGAUUAGUCUUAUAUUCAGGAUUAGCCUUAUAUUGCCUUCAGCAAAUCUUGCUCAAAUACCUAUUGGAGACAGGAAACAAUAUUUUACAAGCUAUAUGAACAAUGACUAUGCCACAGGGAAAGAGAAAGAUUACUGACAACAUAAAGAUCAAAGAGAGCAAGGACACUAUGGAAAGCCAGAUACUGCAUGGCGAGCCAGGCUUCC
rnacentral:lncRNA from 1 species